rfam:Actinomyces denticolens strain PA genome assembly, contig: Ga0104373_101
ACGGCCUCCGGUUCACCUCCGCGCCCGCGGGGGACCCGGAACC